rnacentral:rRNA from 1 species
UACGUAGGGGGCUAGCGUUGUCCGGAAUCAUUGGGCGUAAAGCGCGUGUAGGCGGUUCGGUAAGUCCGCUGUGAAAGUCGGGGGCUCAACCCUCGGAAGCCGGUGGAUACUGUCGGGCUAGAGUACGGAAGAGGCGAGUGGAAUUCCUGGUGUAGCGGUGAAAUGCGCAGAUAUCAGGAGGAACACCGGUGGCGAAGGCGGGUCUCUGGGCCGAUACUGACGCUGAGGAGCGAAAGCGUGGGGAGCAAACAGG